GCCAGUAUGGCAUAAUGGUUUGAGCAUUGGACUAGGACUCUAGAGACCAGGGUUUGGAUCCCAGUUCGGCCA